UUAAUUUGGAAUUGUUUUUAAAUGUUCUUUAGGAACUUCAGACAUAAGCUUAUGCUUGCAUUACCACAAGAAACCACCUGCCAUGAAAAAUAAUUCCCUGUGGAACUUCUGUCAUAAUUUUGAAACAAAAGUCAUUUGAGUUUAUACUGAUUUAUUACAUUUUAGAUAAAAACUUUUACAUGGAGAGAGUUGUAACGCCACCGAUUCGACCAAUCAGGGUUAAGCUAGGAGUCCUAUGAUGCGAGGCCAUAAACAGAGGGGCGUUUGAAUGGUUGUCAAGGCUGUACAUGCAGAUUUUAUAAAGAAAAAACAGAUAUUUAGUGCAUGUCACAAUAUCUGAAGACCAGGGUGUGCAGGCUGUGGGACAAACAGUGACAUCUACAAUAUCUGCAACGUUAAAGUGCUGGCAAUUGCAGAUACAUCAGAGACCAAAGAUUUGGAAUUUUGGAAAACAUUGAGCCGGAAGGUGUAUGCCUCCAGAACCGUAGACCUGGCCAUGCUCAAGACGGGAAGACUUGAAAGUGCCUCAAAAAGAAAAG